AGUGAACGCUGGCGGUAGGCCUAACACAUGCAAGUCGAACGGCAGCACAGUAAGAGCUUGCUCUUACGGGUGGCGAGUGGCGGACGGGUGAGGAAUACAUCGGAAUCUACUUUUUCGUGGGGGAUAACGUAGGGAAACUUACGCUAAUACCGCAUACGACCUACGGGUGAAAGCAGGGGAUCUUCGGACCUUGCGCGAUUGAAUGAGCCGAUGUCGGAUUAGCUAGUUGGCGGGGUAAAGGCCCACCAAGGCGACGAUCCGUAGCUGGUCUGAGAGGAUGAUCAGCCACGCUGGAACUGAGACACGGUCCGGACUCCUACGGGAGGCAGCAGUGGGGAAUAUUGGACAAUGGGCGCAAGCCUGAUCCAGCCAUACCGCGUGGGUGAAGAAGGCCUUCGGGUUGUAAAGCCCUUUUGUUGGGAAAGAAAAGCAGCAGGUUAAUACCCCGCUGUUCUGACGGUACCCAAAGAAUAAGCACCGGCUAACUUCGUG
rnacentral:rRNA from 1 species